AUUGAACGCUGGCGGCAGGCCUAACACAUGCAAGUCGAGCGAGCGGCGGACGGGUGAGUAAUGUAUGGGGACUGCCCGAUAGAGGGGGAUAACUACUGGAAACGGUAGCUCAUAACGCAUACUAUCGGAUAACCCAUAUGGGAUUAGCUAGUAGGUGAGGUAAUGGCUCACCUAGGCGACGAUCCCUAGCUGGGCUGCGAGGAUGAUCAGGCAAACUGGGACGUAGGACCGGCCCAAAAUCCUACGGAGGUAGCAGUGGGGAAUAUUGCACAAUGGGCGCAAGCCUGAUUCAGCCAUGGCGCGGGUAGGAAGAAGGCCCUAGGGUUGUAAAGUACUUUCAGUCGGGAGGCGGUACCGACAGAAGAAGCACCGGCUAACUCCGUGCCAGCAGCCGCGGUAAUUC
rnacentral:rRNA from 1 species